rfam:Triticum aestivum genome assembly, contig: Triticum_aestivum_CS42_TGACv1_scaffold_593264_7BS
CUAAUACUUCCUCCGUCCCAAAAUUCUUGUCUUAAAUUUUUCUAGAUACGGAUGUACCUGAUACUAAAACGUGACUUGAUACAUCCGUAUUUGGACAAAUUUAAGACAAGAAUUUUGGGACGGAGGGAGUACAAU